UCUGCUGUGUCUAUGAUGCAUCUCUGUGUCUGACUCAAAUUUGAGGACAACCACUAAAAUUUCGUCACUACCACUGAGACCACGGCAAU